AAGUCGUAACAAGGUUUCCGUAGGUGAACCUGCGGAAGGAUCAUUAUCAAAGUCUCCACCUCUUUUUCUCUUUGCCUUCAGCUCAUGGCUUCAUGUUAUAGGUCGCUUCACGAAGGUGUGUGGGGCUUAGGCCCCCGGCCAUGAUGUUAGCGAUGUGCGGGUUUGGGGAAGCUGCUGAAGGUGAAUGGAUAGCGUGCACCACAUUGUAGUAGAUCAUUGACCAUUUGCUGUGUGCGGGUCUACUACCCCUCCUUUCUGUCAUCAACUAAAACCGGUCAUUGUAUGUUGGUGGGCACUUUGCCUUUGCCCUUUAAUAUCUGAAUAUAUAACUUUCAACAACGGAUCUCUUGGCUCUC
rnacentral:misc_RNA from 1 species